rnacentral:lncRNA from 1 species
CUGCUGGAGACAUUGAAUCAAUUGAGCACACACACGCACGUAGUAGACAUCACUCGCACCACUGCCAAGAGCCCGUCGGCCCAACUUAUGGAGCAAGUGGCUCAGCUUAAGUCCCUGAGUGACACCGUCGAGAAGCUCAAGGAUGAGGUCCUCAAGGAGACAGUAUCUCAGCGCCCUGGAGCCACAGUACCCACUGACUUUGCCACCUUCCCUUCAUCAGCCUUCCUCAGGGCCAAGGAGGAGCAGCAGGAUGACACAGUCUACAUGGGCAAAGUGACCUUCUCAUGUGCGGCUGGUUUUGGACAGCGACACCGGCUGGUGCUGACCCAGGAGCAGCUGCACCAGCUUCACAGUCGCCUCAUCUCCUAAGCACUCCUUUCCCCUGCUGUCCCCUUCGACCCUCAGCCCUCUGGUGCCGCUCUGCCCGAUGCACAGCCACCUCAGCCAGCCCCCAGGUAGAAACGUGGGUUAAGCUCUUCCUGCCCCGUUCAGCUUCACUCCCACCCUUUCAGCGUCCUGCCCCUUCACCUUGACCCGGGUUCCCCCACUCCCAUUCCCUGGCCUCUGCCAUAAUUUGUUGUUCAACUGCUCCCUCCUUCCUGAGGGGCCUCAGGGCUUGUGGGGGGUAGGCUGAGA